rnacentral:rRNA from 1 species
UCGAGAAUUUUUCUCAAUGGGGGAAACCCUGAAGGAGCGACGCCGCGUGGAGGAUGAAGGCUUUCGGGUUGUAAACUCCUGUCAUUUGGGAACAAGGUGCACACGUUAACUGCGUGGGCAUUGAUAGUACCAGAAGAGGAAGGGACGGCUAACUCUGUGCCAGCAGCCGCGGUAAUACAGAGGUCCCAAGCGUUGUUCGGAUUCAUUGGGCGUAAAGGGUGCGUAGGUGGCGCCGUAAGUCGGGUGUGAAAUUUCGGAGCUUAACUCCGAAACUGCAUUCGAUACUGCGGUGCUUGAGGACUGGAGAGGAGACUGGAAUUCAUGGUGUAGCAGUGAAAUGCGUAGAGAUCAUGAGGAAGACCAGUGGCGAAGGCGGGUCUCUGGACAGUUCCUGACACUGAGGCACGAAGGCCAGGGGAGCAAACGGGAUUAGAUACCCCUGUAGUCC